UACUUCUUGUUAUAUGCAUUCUGUGACAGCCCAAUUUUGGUUGCUUGCGUUCCGCAGUUUGCAAAGCGGGUUUCGUAAGGGAGUAUAAAACACGAGAGCCUCAUGGAUCUUGAGUCUGUCUUGUGAAACCGAAAAUUGUGCCGUCGCAGAGAGUUACUGGCGAUCCCCACAAGCGUGGGUGUGCUUGAACAUCACAACGGGCCAAGUACGCGCCUGUCACUGCAACAUGCAAAGCUGGGUGAGACAUGAUUUCUGACUGAGUAUUAUCGUUCACUAUGGAUACCGUUCGUCAAAAUGGGAAGUGUCGUGUUCCCCUGCUUUGAUUACCUUUGGGUGAAGGUCGUUUUUGUGUUCUACGUUUAACAGAAGCGUGCAGUCGCGUAGCUGCACUUCCGAAAGAGUCUGACAACACUUCUGCGCUUUAUAAUCCCGUUGAUGCGUACAUAUUUAAAAGACGGAACAGAGAUCAAUCCAGCUGCGGUUGUCCAAAGAUCCGUGCCAAAGGUGGACCCUGAUGAUACGGAUUCUGCUUCAGAUGAUGAAGAGUGCUACACAUUUUUUGAGGUAGUUAAAUUGAAUUCCUUGUGAAUACACGUAAUGACUUCAAGCAUUGUAUGCAAGGCCUCGCGUGUCAUUUUCGAUUACACUUCAUGUACUCUAUUUUCAGGAAUGCACCACAAUCAGACUCUAAUGCACGACUGUUCGUGCCUAUCACUGAAAUCGUAAGGAUUGAGAAGUCUUCAAGCCACCUGUGGAAGGAGGCAAGAUACAGAAGAAUUACAGCAUCCGUAAUGCAUAGGGUCAAGGCAUGAAAGCUAACCACAAGUUGACAAAAUCCUCCAGAGAGACCACGAAAGACCAGCAAGACCACGAAAUUAUUGCAAGAAAUGCUUACAAGUCAUUCAUGGAGACACGCCACAUGGACUUCAAGCACUUACUAGGAUUCAUCCAUUGGAGCUACCCAAGACUAACUAUGGAGGUGCAGCUGCCAUGGUGACAGUGCCCUGGAUAUAAAUUGUCCGUGGACACUACGCGAUGGCAGAACUGAUCCAUCGGCUGCAACAUUUCUUAUUGAGAAUUGCAUCCUCAGUGACUAUACUUAAAGGAGUACAGAGGGCCAUCCAAAAAAAAUUCAGAUUAAGACAUCUGAUGAAAGUGUGUGUGUCAUUAUACCGAAUAGCGCGAAAGGUUUUGAUGUGUGCAAUUUGUUUCCCAGAAAAAAACUCACAUAAACCUAGCUCCGCGCCUUCACCCUUAACUCGCCACUCCAGCUAUAACGAGGAUGAGGAGGUAUGAUGGCACGUCACCGAUGACGGCAUAAGGAGACUCGUUCUGGUUUGCCGAUCAGUGGGGGUCAGCGCAUUGUUCCUUUGCCGCCGUAAACCUGUUUUGCCAGUUUUCCCGGAGAAUUGGGGAUACAAGGAGCGCCCGAAGCUUUACCGAGCAAGGAGAAAGGCUUUAUCAGAACCCCGAACAGCCCAGUAGCAGACGACAGCGGAGUAGCAGACAACAUUUUUCUAGGCCAAUCAGCGAGCGAGUCCUUAUAGCGUCAGCGCGAGGUUCCAGGCAGAUCACAGGCUGGUACUGCUCUUCACCACCGUUGCGCACGGUCGCUUUUUGCGGCAUAUUUUAAAUUCAGUUUCUGCGAUAAUUAUGACUCUGUGGUGUAAAUUACUUCGCAUGGUGCAUCUUACUGGCAAACUUAACAGUUUUAUAAGAAGAAAACUGGGUGUUAAAAAUGACUUCUGUGCUACUUUAAGUCCAAACUCAGCUCCAUGUCUGUCAGAAAGGAAUAGCUCACUUUGUUGUAUGGAGCCUUGUUGCCCCAAGGGAAUCAGAUGCAGGUACUCCCACGUUAAGAGGGGAUACGACCUCCGGCGGUCCCAUGUAUUCUCUAUGGGCGAAACAAUGCGAUAUUUUGCAGCUAAUACUGAACCGAUUUGGACCAAAAUGGCCUUCUUCGAUAGAUUUUAGAAUUUCAAAAAAUACGCAUUGGAGACAUUUGCAAUUUUUUUUGUAGAAGUUUUUAACAACCUUACGAAAGCUGCAAAAAAUUUAUAAGUUCGGUCUCUCGCCUUUGGAAGUUCGUAGCUCGUUUACUGUAGCACAUAUGUGAAAUGUAAUUAGGGCCUGACUUUUUCGGGUUUUAUUUUUGGCCAGAUUCGGGGGGUAAAUAUCGGGUGAUAUUUUUCAUUUGAAAAUUCGGGUGUAUUCGGGUUAAAUCCCGUUACGGCAUAUUCUGUCGUCAGGAAAUCGGGUGUAUCCGGGUGAUUUUUUUUGUUUAAUAAAAAUUUGUCUUAACAUGGAACUAAUGUUUAGCAAUGUUAUCUAACUUUAUUUGAAUGCACGCUUAUGAGUGUGCCACGCGACCCAGAUGUUUUCGGGUAGAUUCGGGUUAAACCCGAAUUUUACAGAUUUCGUUCGGGGGGUAAAUAUCGGGCGGAUACGGGUUUAACCCUAAAAAGUCAGGCCCUAAAUGUAAUCAGUAGCAUUUACGCGGAAUUCUUUCUUGAAUAUUUACGUGUCCAUGUCAUGUCUGUCCAUGCCUCCAGUUGUUCACAAUAUUGAAAAAACUUAAGGUAUGUACGGCUCCGUGAACUGCCCCGUCUUGCCAUCGUACAGUAGCGCCACAUUGCUGGUCAGAAGAGAACUUCAUAUCGUUCCGCGGAAUGCAGUCACUGUUCUGGCACCCUAUCCCAGAAGGGGUUUCCCCGGCAGCGGAAGUGCGAAAUUGAGGUCGUAAAACCUGUCUGAAGAGAUCCACGUUGAGUAGGUUGUCGCAAAAUAAUGGGAAGGCCUUGAGUGAGAAACUGAGAAUAGGGAGAAUAGGCGGCAUAGACCAGGAAAGCUUUGCUACACAGCCACACAAUAUUCGUCUCGCAUCGCAUGCACGUAAAAAGAACGGUAGGGUUAGGGGAGGGGAGGCACAGUGAGACCGAGUGGUGUUAUCAUUCGCUCUCCCGAUGUGUUGAAAUUGGAAGACUUUUUUUUUUUUUUUUUUAAUGAGGUAAUAUCAAACAGUCAAAGACUGGAUUAUGGAAAGGCCGAAAAAUAAGGAAUUCCAAGAGGAUGUCUGCGAAAUAAAUAAUUUAUGAAUAAAACGUUGAAAAAGACUCCACGUAGAAAUUCACUUUUUAAGAGAACCUUUUCAAAAGAAGCUCUUUCUCUAUCCACAGCUGUAAGAUCAACCCCAGUACACGAGGGAUGCUGCCAAAAAGUGGCAUGCGCUGGACAAGGUCAUACAAAAGUUAUUUUAAAUGCAUAAAAAGCAUUUAGCACAUUAAUUCCCAAUACCUGUCCUGAGCACAGCGUUGUGGAUCUACCUGAUGUAGCAGAUGUAACUUUUCGAAUAUAUAUUUUUCCUUUCUUGGUGGCCUCUGGCUUUCGAUAGUUCAGUCUUCCGAGUUCUCAGGCUCGGGGUCCAAUGAUGGGUGUAACAGGGGUGUCACAUAUUACACCCAAAAGAAGGGUGCUUAUUGGGUAUAUUAACUCAACAAAUGGCAAGUUCUGAAAAAAAAAAAAAAAAAAAGCUUGCUCCCAAAAUUCACGGAACACUAUUUGCACUGAUGUACUGCAACCUGCAUUUGCAAGUCUGAGCGUCUUAGCUGCCUAGACUCUUGAGGA